CGAGCGCACCUUCGGGUGAGCGGCGGACGGGUUAGUAACGCGUGGGAAUAUGCCCUUCUCUACGGAAUAGCCUCGGGAAACUGAGAGUAAUACCGUAUACGCCCUUCGGGGGAAAGAUUUAUCGGAGAAGGAUUAGCCCGCGUUGGAUUAGGUAGUUGGUGGGGUAAUGGCCUACCAAGCCGACGAUCCAUAGCUGGUUUGAGAGGAUGAUCAGCAACACUGGGACUGAGACACGGCCCAG
rnacentral:rRNA from 1 species